AUGGCCAGUGGUGAUGCAGAAGGUGCUGUGAUGGAAAAAGAGAGAAGCAACAAUCAGGUAUCUCAGUCAGAUCAGCAGCAGCAACAACUACUGUUAACUUCGCUGCUCUCUCAGUUGGUUCAGGGGAUGCAAAACAGUGAGAAGACCCAGAUGGAAGGGAUGGUUGGAAAUCGAAUUAGUAAUAUACUUGGGAAAGAAAGUCACAGGAAAGAGGGAGGAGACACUGAUGGGCAACAAAGAGGUAACAAGAUGGUUGAACAGGGGGUUGGAUUGGAAAUGAAGAAGCAAGGAGGUAAAAGUGGUUGGCAGCAAGGGUAUGAGGAGAACAAGAGAAAUUUUGACAGGUUUAACAAGCAGGUGUGUGGUAAGUGUAAAGACCCCAGGCACACCACCAAGGAUUGCAGGGUGGGGCAUUGCUUGAUCUGUGGCAGAGAGAAUCAUAUUACAGGAGAGUGCAACUUGCUGAAAUAG
rnacentral:rRNA from 1 species